rnacentral:rRNA from 1 species
AGUGAACGCUGGCGGUAGGCCUAACACAUGCAAGUCGAACGGCAGCACAGGAGAGCUUGCCCUCUGGGUGGCGAGUGGCGGACGGGUGAGGAAUACAUCGGAAUCUACUUUUUCGUGGGGGAUAACGUAGGGAAACUUACGCUAAUACCGCAUACGACCUACGGGUGAAAGCAGGGGACCUUCGGGCCUUGCGCGAUUGAAUGAGCCGAUGACGGAUUCGCUAGUUGGCGGGGUAAAGGCCCACCAAGGCGACGCUCCGUAGCUGGUCUGAGAGGAUGAUCAGCCACACUGGAACUGAGACACGGUCCAGACUCCUACGGGAGGCAGCAGUGGGGAAUAUUGGACAAUGGGCGCAAGCCUGAUCCAGCCAUACCGCGUGGGUGAAGAAGGCCUUCGGGUUGUAAAGCCCUUUUGUUGGGAAAGAAAUCCAGCUGGCUAAUACCCGGUUGGGAUGACGGUACCCAAAGAAUAAGCACCGGCUAACUUCGUGCCAGCAGCCGCGGUAA